UAGAAGUCGUAUACGCAGCCC
rnacentral:piRNA from 1 species